rnacentral:rRNA from 1 species
UUGGAGGGCAAGUCUGGUGCCAGCAGCCGCGGUAAUUCCAGCUCCAAUAGCGUAUAUUAAAGUUGUUGCAGUUAAAAAGCUCGUAGUUGAAUUUCGGGAUUGACGUGAUGGUCGUGCCUUAAGGGGUAUGAACUGUUACUGUUGAUUUCUCACCUUCUGGAGAAACUCGAUGUCCUUUAUUGGGUGUCUUGCGGAUCCAGGACCUUUACCUUGAAAAAAUUAGAGUGUUUAAAGCAGGCAUUUUUUGCUCGAAUACAUUAGCAUGGAAUAAUAGAAUAGGACGGCAUGGUUCUAUUUUGUUGGUUUCUAGGAUCACCGUAAUGAUUAAUAGGGAUAGUUGGGGGCAUUAGUAUUCAAUUGUCAGAGGUGAAAUUCCUGGAUUUAUUGAAGACUAACUACUGCGAAAGCAUUUGCCAAGGAUGUUUUCAUUAAUCAAGAACGAAAGUUAGGGGAUCGAAGACGAUCAGAUACCGUCGUAGUCUUAACCAUAAACUAUGCCGACUAGGAAUUAGACGAUGUUAAUUUUUUAAUGACUCGUUUGGCACCUUACGGGAAACCAAAGUGUUUGGGUUC